CCUACGGGAGGCAGCAGUAGGGAAUCUUCCGCAAUGGACGAAAGUCUGACGGAGCAACGCCGCGUGAGUGAUGAAGGUUUUCGGAUCGUAAAGCUCUGUUGUUAGGGAAGAACAAGUGCCGUUCAAAUAGGGCGGCACCUUGACGGUACCUAACCAGAAAGCCACGGCUAACUACGUGCCAGCAGCCGCGGUAAUACGUAGGUGGCAAGCGUUGUCCGGAAUUAUUGGGCGUAAAGGGCUCGCAGGCGGUUUCUUAAGUCUGAUGUGAAAGCCCCCGGCUCAACCGGGGAGGGUCAUUGGAAACUGGGGAACUUGAGUGCAGAAGAGGAGAGUGGAAUUCCACGUGUAGCGGUGAAAUGCGUAGAGAUGUGGAGGAACACCAGUGGCGAAGGCGACUCUCUGGUCUGUAACUGACGCUGAGGAGCGAAAGCGUGGGGAGCGAACAGGAUUAGAUA
rnacentral:rRNA from 1 species